AGAGUUUGAUUCUGGCUCAGAACGAACGCUGGCGGCGUGGAUAAGACAUGCAAGUUGAGCGAUGAACUGACGAUAGCAAUAUCUGACGGGAUUAGCAGCGAACGGGUGAGUAACACGUAGGAAUCUGCCCCAAAGUUCGGGAUAGCUCGGUGAAAGCCGGGGUAAUACCGGAUGUGAUCUUCGGAUUAAAGGCUUCGGUCGCUUUGGGAUGAGCCUGCGUUCCAUCAGCUUGUUGGUAGGGUAAAAGCCUACCAAGGCGAAGACGGAUAGCUGGUCUGAGAGGACGGUCAGCCACAAUGGAACUGAGACACGGUCCAUACACCUACGGGUGGCAGCAGUCGAGAAUCAUUCGCAAUGGACGAAAGUCUGACGGUGCGACGCCGCGUGGGGGAUGAAGGCCUUAGGGUCGUAAACCCCUGUCGGGUGCGAGUAAGGUCCUACUUACGUAGGAAUUGAUAUUAGCAUCAAAGGAAGGGACGGCUAACUCCGUGCCAGCAGCCGCGGUAAUACGGAGGUCCCAAGCGUUGUUCGGAUUCACUGGGCGUAAAGCGUGCGUAGGCGGAGAAAUAAGUUUGGCGUGAAAGCCCCGGGCCCAACCCGGAAAUUGCGUUGAAAACUAUUUCCCUAGAGGAUUGGAGGGGAGACUGGAAUUCCUGGUGUAGCAGUGAAAUGCGUAGAUAUCAGGAGGAACACCGGUGGCGAAGGCGAGUCUCUGGACAAUUCCUGACGCUGAGGUACGAAGGCUAGGGUAGCGAAAAGGAUUAGAUACCCUUGUAGUCCUAGCAGUAAACGGUGUGCACUUGCUGUAGGCGGAUUCGACCCCGCCUGUGGCGAAGCUAACGCGUUAAGUGCACCGCCUGGGGAGUACGGUCGCAAGAUUAAAACUCAAAGAAAUUGACG
rnacentral:rRNA from 1 species